UACGUAGGGUGCGAGCGUUAAUCGGAAUUACUGGGCGUAAAGCGUGCGUAGGCGGUUUCGCAAGUCCGCUGUGAAAGCCCCGGGCUUAACCUGGGAAUGGCAGUGGAAACUAUGGGACUUGAAUCUGGCAGAGGGGGGUGGAACUCCACGUGUAGCAGUGAAAUGCGUAGAUAUGUGGAAGAACACCGAUGGCGAAGGCAGCCCCCUGGGCUGAGAUUGACGCUGAGGCACGAAAGCGUGGGGAGCAAACAGG
rnacentral:rRNA from 2 species